AAUGGCGUAAAGGAUGACUGAACUUUUUUCCCCAGCAGAUCGACACUGUUGACUUCUCUAUAAUUAAGCCAAAAUAUCUGAUGCACCAUG